rnacentral:rRNA from 1 species
CCAAUAGCGUAUAUUAAAGUUGUUGCAGUUAAAAAGCUCGUAGUUGGAUUUCGGGACGGGCCAGUUGGUCCGCCGCAAGGUGUGUUACUGACUGGUCUGUUCUUCUUCGCAAAGACUGCGUGUGCUCUUCGUUGAGUGUGCGUAGGAUUUACGACGUUUACUUUGAAAAAAUUAGAGUGUUCAAAGCAGGCUAUCGCUUGAAUACAUGAGCAUGGAAUAAUGGAAUAGGACUUUGGUCCUAUUUUGUUGGUUUCUAGGACCGAAGUAAUGAUUAAGAGGGACAAUUGGGGGCAUCCGUAUUUCGUUGUCAGAGGUGAAAUUCUUGGAUUUACGAAAGACGAACAACUGCGAAAGCACUUGCCAAGAGUGUUUUCAUUAA